GAGUUUGAUCCUGGCUCAGGACGAACGCUGGCGGCGCGCCUAACACAUGCAAGUCGAACGAGCGAGAGAGAGCUUGCUUUCUCAAGCGAGUGGCGAACGGGUGAGUAACGCGUGAGUAACCUGCCCUAGAGUGGGGGACAACAGUUGGAAACGACUGCUAAUACCGCAUAAGCCCACGGUGCCGCAUGACACUGAGGGAAAAGGAUUUAUUCGCUUUAGGAUGGACUCGCGUCCAAUUAGCUAGUUGGUGAGGUAACGGCCCACCAAGGCGACGAUUGGUAGCCGGACUGAGAGGUUGAACGGCCACAUUGGGACUGAGACACGGCCCAGACUCCUACGGGAGGCAGCAGUGGGGGAUAUUGCACAAUGGGGGAAACCCUGAUGCAGCGACGCCGCGUGGAGGAAGAAGGUUUUCGGAUUGUAAACUCCUGUCGUUAGGGACGAUAAUGACGGUACCUAACAAGAAAGCACCGGCUAACUACGUGCCAGCCGCCGCGGUAAUAC
rnacentral:rRNA from 1 species